UGAAAGGACCCUGCUGUACUGCUGUACUCUUUCUACAACAGUCUCCGCUGUGACUGAGUUUCCCAAAGGGUCACACCUCCAGGGAUGAGGCUCCAGCUCCAGCCCCUGGGAAGAAGAACCGGACAACAUCCUGGCGGUUCCUGGCUGAUGUCCCUCGCAACGCUUCCCCACUGCCCCUUCUCCAAAUGGGCAUGGCUCCUUCCCGGCCCGGUUUGGCGCAGAAGCAGCAGCCUCCCAUUAAAACAGCUUAUCGGGUUAUUUCUGAGAGGGAGGAGACUUUGGCUGCUGUUUCUGUGCUAGGCCGGUUGGGACCGAGCUGAGACGCCCAUACAGAGGAGAAGUGGGGAGCACUUAUAAGAUCAGCGAGGGAAAAGUUCAGCCGGAGAACUGCCGCAUUCCAGGAGGGACUGGAGCCCAGACUACGGCCUCUCGCCUCUGAGGAUCUCCUGUCUGUACCGCUGUGGUUGCUGUCCAAGCCUCCCCCAAAAAGACCAGAUAAGAGGAAGGGAACCUUUGCAUGGGGCAGGGAGAACACCCUACAAGUUGAGCGUACGCGUUCAUGCUCUGGGUGCAUUUCUUUAAAAAGGCAUACACUGAUAAGCUUGAGGAUUCCCCAGUGAUGCCGGCUGGCGGAAGGAAGAGGCAUUGGGUGACGGUGCAAAGAAAAAAUUCCAGAGCGUUUGGAUCUCAGCUGAAGGACUGUAUUCCGGUUUCUGAUUUUUCAGCUGCUAAAGCAUAUGAAAGCUGUGAUGUGAUAAAUAGAGGCUUUACAAAUGUGUAGGGCGAACUUUCCCCUGUUCAUCCUUUGGUCAUACCGGAUUGUUAUGUACUGAAGUUCUCACCCUGGGCCAGCAGGGGGAUACUGUAGAUAGUUUUCACUCAGGUCCACAUAUGCAAAUAGGG